UAAUACGUGAGUAACCUGCCCUUGACUCUGGGAUAAGCCUGGGAAACUGGGUCUAAUACUGGAUAUGACCUCCUGUCGCAUGGUGGGGGGUGGAAAGGGUUUGUACUGGUUGUGGAUGGGCUCACGGCCUAUCAGCUUGUUGGUGGGGUAAUGGCCUACCAAGGCGACGACGGGUAGCCGGCCUGAGAGGGUGACCGGCCACACUGGGACUGAGACACGGCCCAGACUCCUACGGGAGGCAGCAGUGGGGAAUAUUGCACAAUGGGCGCAAGCCUGAUGCAGCGACGCCGCGUGAGGGAUGACGGCCUUCGGGUUGUAAACCUCUUUCAGCACGGAAGAAGCGAAAGUGACGGUACGUGCAGAAGAAGCGCCGGCUAACUACGUGCCAGCAGCCGCGGUAAUACGUAGGGCGCAAGCGUUGUCCGGAAUUAUUGGGCGUAAAGAGCUCGUAGGCGGUUUGUCGCGUCUGCUGUGAAAGCCCGGGGCUUAACCCCGGGUGUGCAGUGGGUACGGGCAGACUUGAGUGCAGUAGGGGAGACUGGAACUCCUGGUGUAGCGGUGAAAUGCGCAGAUAUCAGGAAGAACACCGAUGGCGAAGGCAGGUCUCUGGGCUGUUACUGACGCUGAGGAGCGAAAGCAUGGGGAGCGAACAGGAUUAGAUACCCUGGUAGUCCAUGCCGUAAACGUUGGGCACUAGGUG
rnacentral:rRNA from 1 species